AGCGAACGUUUGCGGCGGGCUUAACACAUGCAAGUCGAACGGGCUGUUCCUUCGGGGGCAGUCAGUGGCGCACGGGUGCGUAACACGUAGGUAAUCAACCCUCUGGUUGGGGAUAACACUUCGAAAGGAGUGCUAAUACCCGGUAUGGCGCAGCGGUCUUCGGAUCGCGGCGAGAAAGACCCGCAAGGGUUGCCAGAGGACGAGCCUGCGGCCCAUCAGCUAGUUGGCGAGGUAACGGCUCACCAAGGCGAAGACGGGUAGCUGGUCUGAGAGGAUGAUCAGCCACACUGGAACUGAGACACGGUCCAGACUCCUACGGGAGGCAGCAGUGGGGAAUAUUGCGCAAUGGGCGAAAGCCUGACGCAGCCACGCCGCGUGAGCGAUGAAGGCCUCGGUCGUAAGAC
rnacentral:rRNA from 1 species